GUGAAGGUGAAAGAAGUCAAGUCAGUGACUCUCAAAGAGGGGCCACACACCAGGACCUGGAAAUGGACAUUAUAAAAGCUUUGUAUUAGAAGAGAGAGUAAACAAGAAACAAAUUAUAUUAUAAAGGCUAGAGCCCAAAACUGUCAAUAAGCCAGGCCACACUGUUUCUGUGCCACAGCAUGGCUCUCUCUAGGACAUCACCAUACUCAGCAAGGCUGAGCAUGGUUCAGACCCCAAGAGCCUCCAGCCUUUAAUUUUAUGAGGCAUUUCUGGCAGCCCUGAUUAGAAGUGUCCAUUUCUUGUCCCUUCUAUAUGGCCCAAGGAAAUUUACAUCAGUUAUAUUAACAAAAGAAGCAAUAAAAUAAAUAGUGUCCUUUGGGAUCAAUGUGUAAACAGUGGCUUUUAAUCUAAAAUCUUUUUUUUUUUUUUUUUUUUGCUUUCUAGGGCUACACUUUCAGUAUAUGGAAGUUUUCAGGCUAGGGGUUGAAUUGGAGCUGUAGUUGCUCUCCUACACCACAGCCACAGCAACUCGGGGUCCGAGCUGCAUCUGUGACUUACACCAUAGCUCACAGAAAUGCCAGAUCCUCAACCCACUGUGCAAGGCCAGGAAUCAAACCCUCAUCCUCAUGGAUACUAGUUGGAUUUGUUUCUGCUGAGCCAGGAUGGGAAUUCCUAAAAUUUCUUCUUUCUGAGGGGGAGCUGUGGAAAAUGGCUGUAUAAAUCUGAAUUUUCUCUUUGGCAAAAUAGCCUUUGAUGAGCGAUGGGCCAGAUACUUUUUAUAACUCUAGGCCAGAAAGGACAGAGGAAAAGGAUUCAGCAUGAUACAACUGAAGCUUCUCAGAUUCAAUUCAUUAUUUGCCAAGCCCUGGUUAUUUUGUGUGGGUUUACACAAAUGACUGUGUUUGAGCUUGGUUCCAAAACUGUGAGGUAAAUGUCAUUAUCAUCAAUUUAUAGAUAGGAAAAUGAGACACUGAUGAUGUCACUUUACCCCCCUGGACCUCAGAUAAUGAAAAAGCAGCACAUUCAGGUUUUAUUGAGACUUUUAGUCUCCAAGUAAAUUGGACAUUAACAGAAACGCUCUCACCUAUUUUGUGUACAAUGCCCCAUUGAUUUCUAUCUGAAUGAACUUGUAUCUCUUAAUGAUAUAGGGUCUGAAAACACAGAGGCCAAGAGCAGUUUAACUCUGCUCCUAUAAAGUUAGUGGGAAUUAAGUUGUAGGGGCAUCAAACUGCAGUAGCACUUUGGGAAGACUCUCAGGAUAUAUCUGGUCCCUUCGGCAGUACCAUCAGACCAGACAAGAGAAUUUGGCAGGAUCUGGUGUGUCUUUAUCAGGGUGAAGCCUUCCCAUUGCUGUUGUUUGAUCUCUGGCCUUCUUCCCUCCAAACAAGGCCAAGUGCUUUAAAAGGCAGGCAGUUCUGGUGUGAAGCUGACCUGGCUUCACACACUUUGAGCAGCCUUAUUUCAGUCCAUGUGGGAAGCAAGGAUAUCAGGCCAUGGGCUUCGAAACAAUGGGUCAGCAGGGCAACAACUUGUGGAGGGUAGUGAGCCACUGUGUGAGGAGCCAACUUGGGCCGCUAGAUUCCCAAGCUUCCCAGACUCUAUAAAUGCAGGGACCCUAUUGCCCUUAUCCAUCAGGCUCUCUACUGACUCUGUCAAGUGCAGUUCAAUCAGUUUUGCAUUUGCCAGGGAGGUAUGUGGUGGAAAUCAGACUGCCCUACAGGGAAGAAGAUAAGGAUUCUACCUUCAGCUCUGCACUAGUUUCUGGCGUAACCUUAAGGAAAUCACUUUCUUUUCUGAGUCUCAGUUCAUUCUCUACAGAAGGAGCGAGUUCUCCUAAGUAUACCUUUAUGCUAGUCCUCUCCCAAUCAUUUUGGAAUUAGCAGUGUGCUUUUCACACCUCUGGAAAUCAAAACAAGCCCGUGAGGCAGGCCAGAAAGUGUUUGUUUUCCUUUUACAAAUAAGGGCAUUGUGGUCCAGAAUGACUUGCUACAAGUCAGAGAUCUCCUAACCCUGGCUUAAUAUUGGUUCCAAGGCACAAUCCAUCAGCACCUUGACUCCGAGCGCAUUUUUGUUUUAGAUAAUUCAAUUGGGUGGCUCUCCCAGAGUUGCAGCUGUUGCCCCGGAGGAAAUGAGAACAUUUAGAAGCUGUUCUCACUUGGGUAGACUAAGGCGCCUUGUAUCAUGGUAAUAGGAACUAGAGGAGGUGACUUUUAGCCAGUAAAAUAGCUCCCUGAGCUAUUUUAGUUGCAGCUAGAGCAGUUACUCUCAAACUUCAGUGCACACGAAGAUCCUUGGAGAAUCUGUUUAUGCUCUUUAUAUCUGGGCCCUAGCCCCAGAGUGCUUCUGCAGGCUUACUGACCUGGUCUAGAAUUGCCUCAGAGAGGACAAUUCUGAUAGUCAGAUUGACUUUACCACUGGUGAGAGACCCUGCAUUGAACUAGCUACAAAGCCAGUCACACUCUCUGCCAUCUGCCUUUGCCUGCUUUCUCCUGGGAGAUCUCAUAGGCCUCUGCUGGUGGUAGAUAGAGGGGCUAUAUUCUGAGCAUGACUUUGCCCAUAGGAAACCACUAACUCAGACUAUUUCACCACUUUAUUUCACUUUUAUCCUCUUUAAUCUGGUGGAGCAAUUUUAACAACCAGGACAUAAAAUUAACAUUGGAAUAACUCAUCUGAUUGGAAAGCAAAAACUAAUGCAUUUAGACAAUUCUCCUUUGACUUAGGUUAAGACUAUUAGACAUUUCACAUUACUGGGGGAGCUCAGAACCCUUAAAAAAUCCCUUAAAGAUUUGUAGGUACUUUAUGUUAUGAAUUGCUAGAGUUAGACCAAAAAACUCACCACUUCUUUUAGAGGUACUAUUAGUGCCAUUCUCAAUAUUUGAAUAAGGUAUUUAUGUAAUGUAAAUUUUUUUAAAAGGUGAGUGUAACUCAAGAAAAGGUAUACCAAGAGAAAUGAACAAGUUUAAAUAAUUCACAAAUUGAAAGAAAACCACACUGUUUAAUCCUAUGUCUUCAUUUGAGUUCAGAAAAUAUGAUUCUGGAAUAGUCAGUUAGCAUUCACAAUAUGGGAGCAAAUUAUUAACCAAAACUUCUGGUUUCUUAUGUUUCUGGGAUUCAUUGAAAUUUAUCACACAUUUUGAAUACUAAAAAAAAUGAAAACUUCCAACUUACAGCCCUUAUUCUUGGUACUUUGUCUCCCUUCCGUUAUUACCUAAUGUGCAGAAAAGCCACUUACUCCUCCUUCCAAAUUCCUUACACAGGAAGAGGAGAUUUGUUGCUGGUUUGAUCAAAUGGUAUUUAAAAAGUAUUUAAAAGAAAGGAUAUAUGUCUUCCUAGUUUCUUCUCCUCUUUUCACUUCUUCUGCUGAAAACUUUCAGACCUGAGUUCCCCCUCUAGCACUCAUUGGGAGCUUGUGUCAGACACAAAUGCCUUGGGGUUACCAAGACUUCUGCACAAAAGUCCCAACCAACAUUUGGGAUGGAAAACUUAGAUAUUGAUUUAAGUGAACCAUCUCACUAAAGUUGCCCAUGGGGUCUUAGGAAAUGAACAGGUAUAAUAAAUUGAACUGUUAUUCUCAAUUAUUCUUAUCCUCCCUAGAUCAGAAUUAGAUGUCCACACCUUUUGUCAUGUAAUUUAGUAAUGCCUUGCACCAGAGUCCACUUACCUGGCCCAUUGAUGUUGAAUGUACCCAUAUGACUUUCUUGAGUUAAUGGGACAUCAGUGACUAUAAAGAAGAGUAACCAUUUUUGGCCAAGGUCUUGCAGAGUAUGCUGCUGGCUUUCUUGGAAUUCCAUAAUCCAUCAUGAAAAUAACAUGCCUGGGUAGUUGCUGCUCUGAGAAUAAUGAAACUCAUGGAGCAGACCUGAACCAACUGAGGCCUGCAUCCAAACCAGUCCAGGAGAGCCUGGUCAAUCCCAACUGAGCUCAGCCAAACCACUGCCAACCCGAAGACUCACAAGCAAAACAUCAAUAUCUGUUUUUACAAGCUAUUUGGAUUUUUUCCCCCAUGCAAAAUUAUCACAGCAAUAGUUGCAUGAUACAAUAGAUCCAGAAAAACUACCAAAGAGAGAAACCUCAGCCAGGUAUGUAGCUUUGAUGUACAAAAAUACAUUUAUUUUCAACAAUUUCAAAACCACUGUCUUUUUUUUUUACAUAGAAAUAUUCAAAUGGAACAAUAAAACCAAGAACAGUAUAUGUACAUAUACUGUAUAUAUAGAUAUGACUCAUGCAUUUGUAUUCCAGUGUUUAGUACAAGUAUUGCAAUUGUCUGCCCCAUUUAACCCUUGGAACAAAAAAGCAGGAUCUUUAGAAAUCCUCCCAAUUCUGAUCUAUGCUGUAGACAGUCCAAUUUCUCCAGGUCACAUUCUCUGCGUCUCACAGAGAAGGAUGUGAACAGGUACAAAACUUGGCCUUUCCUCCCAUAUAUAUACAGUAUAUCAUUAAAAAAAAAAAAAAAGUAUGCUCAGGCUGAGCCUGAAAAGAAAACAAUGCUUUCAGCAUCGCUUAAAGCCACCCUUCUGAAAGGAACUGACACAUGAAAUGGGUGAAGGGGCUGGGAUGAUAGAAAAGAGAACACUGGCUUUGAAAGUCACUCGCCUCAGACGCAAGAACUAUCUUAGGGGAACUGAAGGCAGACAUUUGAAUUGAAGGAAGUUGUGUACAUCAGACAAGCAAAUAGCACAGCUUUGCUAAAAUCAACUUUGACUAAUAUCAUGAAAAGCUAGACCCCUAUUCUUCCCACAGGGUUUGCACGGUCUCCUGAUCCCACAAAUGCCACCUCCCUCCCUCCUCCAACUUCUCCCAGGCCAAGAGACCCUCACUGGGCUUAACUGAGUACCCAAGGGACUUCUCUGAGCUAAGAACAGCCCAUAACUUCCCCAUAAGCAUUACACCUUUUCAUGGACUUUAACCAGAAAACAAUACUUUUCAUUGUUCAGAUCCAUUGCCUGGCUCCUUUAGAGAAAACCAUUUUCCCAGGCUAAUAACCAUCCUCCACUGCAACCUUCCUGAGGGAAAGCCUAGUUUCCCCAUCUGGGUCUCAGUCUGAAGUCUCUCAUGGGCUUCAUCUUUCAACUUCUUCCAUGUCACUGUGGGACACAAAGUGCCCCCCCAUGUUCUAUGAGGUCACUCUCAUCCUUCCUUUAACCAGUUGUCCCCAAGAAGCCCUCCCCCCUCCCCCCUUUAUAUACAGAAGUAGAAACCGGCAAUGACAUGGACACAGAAAUGCAAGAGUUAAGUGUGACAGACAACUGGAGAGCAUCCAGAACCCAACUCGUCCAGCAGGCCUGGGGGUUGGUCAGCUCUGAAGGUG
rnacentral:lncRNA from 1 species